GUUACUUUGGCAGAAUAGUGCAAUAAAUUUAGAAUUUAUAAAUGUAAUUUUUACAGGUAAUA
rnacentral:tRNA from 1 species